CUCCCGAAAAGGCAACCUUCGGGCUAACUGAAGCGCGCAAAGCUACGGGUCCAAAUGUGGAUGGACCGCCGAGCUACCGAA
rnacentral:ncRNA from 1 species